rnacentral:sRNA from 1 species
GCCGUUAAAAGCAGACAUUCGAACUUCACCCUGCUGCCUUUCUUUGCGAUACUCUCAACUACAUACGUCUAAAGGACUUAUCCAAUAAAACAUGCCACCGAACCCUCUUUGUGGGAAAUUGAGCUCCCUUGCCGAAAAAGCGAGCUUGGCAGCUGAGAAAUUUGAAAGCGACCACGAUUUUACCAGUGGACCAAUAUGAAAUUUUGGAGGCUCUGACCUCGAAGUUAUUCGAGGCUAUCGCUGAAAGGGGCGAGCAGGAGAUGGAGGCAACAUCAGACCCAGAAGUACGGAGUACAUACUCUUUAGACCUAUUUGACGUUCCCUAGUACUAAUGCAGGUGGCGCGUUGGCUCAAUUCGAACAUGGUGCUCAAGUAUCUAAGACUUCUCCGCUGUUCCAAUAACUGGCCUACCAGUGGAUAGCUCACAGGCAUCUAUUGCUACCCUUUUGUCUAUCAUAGGCAUAAAACUCACGCCAGAUUGCGUGCACAUACCCCCGCACAAAAGCGUACUCCAGAUAUCAGCGGGUAUCAAGGUUGAAGAUCCCACGUUUGCGAAGUUAUUAUGCACCAAAAUCGGUAUGUAAAACAUCUCGGGGACCGUAUUCAAGCAGCUACAAGCAGCUCAAAUCCCAGUCCGCCUUUCUUCAGACCCAAAUACCCGUCGAGUUGAAUGCAGGAAAGUCCAAUUGUAGUUCUCAGAAUGCCCCUUAAUCCUG